AUGGGUAGGGGAGCUUCCCAUACGGGUUGAAGCAUGACCGUAAGGACAUGUGGACAGUAUGGGAGUGAGAAUGUUGGCAUGAGUAGCGAGAUGUGGGUGAGAAGCCCACAGGCCGUAAACCCAAGGUUUCCAGGGGAAGGUUCGUCCGCCCUGGGUUAGUCGGGACCUAAGCUGAGGCCGAAAGGCGUAGGUGAUGGACAACAGGUUGAUAUUCCUGUACUACCGAUAACC
rnacentral:rRNA from 1 species